AUACGUAGGGGGCGAGCGUUGUCCGGAAUGAUUGGGCGUAAAGGGCGCGUAGGCGGCUUUGCAAGUCAGUAGUGGAAGUCCAUUUUUCAAGGAUGGAAGUGCUACAGAAACUGCGGAGCUUGAGCGCAGGAGAGGUUAUCGGAAUUCCCGGUGUAGCGGUGAAAUGCGUAGAGAUCGGGAGGAACACCAGUGGCGAAGGCGGGUAACUGGACUGCAACUGACGCUGAGGCGCGAAAGUGUGGGGAGCAAACAGGAUUAGAUACCCUGGUAGUCCACACUGUAAACGAUGAAUGCUAGGUGUAGGAGGUAUCGACCCCUUCUGUGCCGCAGUAAACACAGUAAGCAUUCCGCCUGGGGAGUACGGUCGCAAGAUUAAAACUCAAAGGAAUUGACGGGG
rnacentral:rRNA from 1 species